UACGAAGGGGGCUAGCGUAGCUCGGAAUCACUGGGCGUAAAGGGUGCGUAGGCGGGUCUUUAAGUCAGGGGUGAAAUCCUGGAGCUCAACUCCAGAACUGCCUUUGAUACUGAAGAUCUUGAGUUCGGGAGAGGUGAGUGGAACUGCGAGUGUAGAGGUGAAAUUCGUAGAUAUUCGCAAGAACACCAGUGGCGAAGGCGGCUCACUGGCCCGAUACUGACGCUGAGGCACGAAAGCGUGGGGAGCAAACAGG
rnacentral:rRNA from 1 species